GGAUCGACCGGAUGCACAUCUCUGUCGGUGGGUGGGGUGAAGUGGAUCUUGCAGGGUGAUUCGGUUCAACGUCCCGAUGAGCUCCAUCCAGCUGAAGAUGUUGACCGACUCACCGAUGGAAUCCAUGUCGGAUCCAUGCAUGCAUGCACAUGCCGACGUAGACACCACAUCUGUCUCCCUGCUUCAGUGCGCGGGCGAGGCGUCGUGGUCCAUACCCGCCGGGGUCGGCCCUCCGAAGGGAUAUUGUCGGAUGAGGUCGCCCCUGUUCCCGCCCCUGUUCCGUCAUAUCCUCUCCCCCCCCCUUCAAGGCCAUUCGGUCUCAGCUCAGUCGACGGGGAGAAGCGCUGCGGCCAAGGCGGCGGUGGGGCCCAGUUUCAAUCCGGCCCAUACAAAUCGGUUCCCCCGACACGGAUUUUCGGUACGGCGAGCGCAGUCUGGCAGGAUCCAUGGGGAGAUGCCUCCGGGGAGUAGUUGUAGGCGGGAAGACACGGCGUCUCCAGUGGGAACGUGUCGUGCCUCCUGCCUGCAACGUGAGCCGCGUAGCGGCGGUUGGGUCUGCCGGCAUCGGUGGGCACCCGGGAAGCUUCCUCCGCAGCUACGGCUGGUCGCGAGGCGAUGGGCAUCCCGGCCCCUCGAGACCGCUAACCGCGCCGCCUCGUCGCGACCCGCGAACCCUUUUCCAUGCCCGGACGAGCUCCCCCGGUGUGGUCUAGGGCGCCAUCGGCACCACCGGUGGCCCCUUCGACCGCCGGUCAGCUCGAGCAUUCGCGGCGCAUCAGCCCCCUCGCCCUCCUCCACCGGCGGGACGGGGCAUGCGUCGCGGGCGUUUGAAACCCCGGAGUUCCUCGCGGCUCCGGUUCCGGUUGGGGUCUGUCGACUGUUGGCCGCUGGCUAACGAUCAUAUCAGAUUCCCGGGGGAAAGGCCGGCCCGGAAUCCGCUGCUCGCCAGCGUGUCCGGGGCGGUGAUCCUCCAUCGGAGGGACCGAUGCGGCAGCCCGUGUUCGCCCUCGCGGGCCGGCACACGAUCCUGCCGCGGACCGUCCUCUGAAAAUCUCAGUGGGGACAAUCGAAUGCCGUUCGGGCAGCCUGCGCGGUACGCCGCUGGGUUGCACGCGGCGGGUUCCUUCGCGGGAACCCCUUCCGUCUAGCUACUCCUGCCCCCCUCGGGGGGUUCAGACCCGGGGGCCCUGGCCGCCGGGUCCGGAAGUCAGCUACCUGGUUGAUUCUGCCAGUAGUCAUAUGCUUGU
rnacentral:rRNA from 1 species